rnacentral:rRNA from 1 species
CAAGUCGAACGCGAAAGCCUCCUUCGGGGGGCAAGUAGAGUGGCGCACGGGUGAGUAACACGUAGGUAAUCUACCUUUGGAUUGGGAAUAACCACCGGAAACGGUGGCUAAUACCGAAUAAUGCAGCGGCACCUAAUGGUGACAGUUGUUAAAGCGGGGGAUCGCAAGACCUCGCGUCUGAAAAGGAGCCUGCGGCAGAUUAGCUAGUUGGUAAGGUAACGGCUUACCAAGGCGAUGAUCUGUAGCCGGCCUGAGAGGGCGGUCGGCCACACUGACACUGACAUACGGGUCAGACUCCUACGGGAGGCAGCAGUCGGGAAUUUUGGGCAAUGGGCGAAAGCCUGACCCAGCAACGCCGCGUGAAGGAUGAAAUCCCUCGGGAUGUAAACUUCGCAAGAACGGGAAGAAUAAGUAAGAGUUAAUAUCUCUUACGAUGACGGUACUGUUUGUAAGCUCCGGCUAACUCCGUGCCAGCAGCCGCGGUAAUACGGGGGGAGCAAGCGUUGUUCGGAUUUACUGGGCGUAAAGGGCGCGUAGGCGGCCACCGCAAGUCGACUGUGAAAUCUCCGGGCUUAACCCGGAAAGGUCAGCCGAUACUGCGGGGCUAGAGUGCAGAAGGGGCAACUGGAAUUCUCGGUGUAGCGGUGAAAUGCGUAGAUAUCGAGAGGAACACCUGCCGGCGAAAGCGGGUUGCUGGGCUGACACUGACGCUGAGGCGCGAAAGCUAGGGGAGCGAACGGGAUUAGAUACCCCGGUAGUCCUAGCCUUAAACGAUGAAUGCUUGGUGUCUGGGGUUUUAUAGUCCCCCGGGUGCCCGUCGCUAACGCUUUAAGCAUUCCGCCCUGGGGAGUACGGUCGCAAGACUGAAACUCAAAGGAAUUGACGGGGUCCGCACAACGGUGGAGCAUGUGGUUUAUUCGACGCAC